rnacentral:rRNA from 1 species
CCCGAAAGAUCGAAUGGGGAGAUUCACCGUCAGCGGCGUCGGCUUCGACGCGGCGCGCGAUGUCGUCGACCUCGCGUCGACGGCACGCGGCCGCGCCGUUCAUGCCCGGCGACGCCGGCGUGCACUUCUCCCUUAGUAGGACGUCGCGACCCGUUAGGCGUCGGUCUACGGCCCGAUCGGUAGACUAACUCCCGCGUUCGCGCGCCGGGGUUAGACCGUCGGCUGCCCGACCGGCUGCCUGGCGGUACCCGCACGGUAUCGAGCCGCAUCCAAAUGCGUCCAGCCCGUCGCAAGCGCGGUCACGGAAACCCGGUGGUCGGACCCAGCGCCGUCCCCGGGCCUGGCCAGCUGUUGGCAGACGGUGUCCUCGGACCGGCUCUCAUUACCGGUCGGCGACGCUAUUGCUUUGGGUACUUUCA